ensembl:snoRNA SNORD58 Small nucleolar RNA SNORD58
UUGCUGUGAUGACAGUCUUAGGACACCUUUGGAAUGCCCAUGAAAACAAACAGUUCCUUCUGAGCAAC